GUAUACAAGGAGCUAAAGGGGU
rnacentral:misc_RNA from 1 species